rnacentral:rRNA from 1 species
UGGGGAAUUUUGGACAAUGGGCGAAAGCCUGAUCCAGCAAUGCCGCGUGUGUGAAGAAGGCCUUCGGGUUGUAAAGCACUUUUGUCCGGAAAGAAAUCCUUGGCUCUAAUACAGUCGGGGGAUGACGGUACCGGAAGAAUAAGCACCGGCUAACUACGUGCCAGCAGCCGCGGUAAUACGUAGGGUGCAAGCGUUAAUCGGAAUUACUGGGCGUAAAGCGUGCGCAGGCGGUUUGCUAAGACCGAUGUGAAAUCCCCGGGCUCAACCUGGGAACUGCAUUGGUGACUGGCAGGCUAGAGUAUGGCAGAGGGGGGUAGAAUUCCACGUGUAGCAGUGAAAUGCGUAGAGAUGUGGAGGAAUACCGAUGGCGAAGGCAGCCCCCUGGGCCAAAUACUGACGCUCAUGCACGAAAGCGUGGGGAGCAAACAGGAUUAGAUACCCUGGUAGUCCACGCCCUAAAACGAUGUCAACUAGUUGUUGGGGAUUCAUUUCCUUAGUAACGUAGCUAACGCGUGAAGUUGACCGCCUGGGGAGUACGGUCGCAAGAUUAAAACUUAAAUGAAUUGAC